UACGUAGGGUGCAAGCGUUACUCGGAAUUACUGGGCGUAAAGCGUGCGCAGGCGGUUUUGUAAGUCUGUCGUGAAAUCCCCGGGCUUAACCUGGGAAUUGCGAUGGAGACUGCAAGGCUGGAGUCUGGCAGAGGGGGGUAGAAUUCCACGUGUAGCAGUGAAAUGCGUAGAGAUGUGGAGGAACACCGAUGGCGAAGGCAGCCCCCUGGGUCAAGACUGACGCUCAUGCACGAAAGCGUGGGGAGCAAACAGG
rnacentral:rRNA from 1 species